UUUCCCUAGGGAUUGCGUUGCACGCCUUCCUGCAGGGCCCAGUGCGGGGACCAGAGGGAUGUGGGAUCCUGAGGAUCACUGUGGGGCACGGACGCUCAAUCCUCAGUCCCCAGUAAGGGAAAGCCGAGGGGGUGGCAGAAAAGUGUGUGUGUGUGCGUGUGAGUGACAGUGUGUAUUUGGGGGCCGGGAGGGGUGAAUGUCCUGGGGUGCUCGCAGCUCGGCGGGGCAGGGCCAUCGCCCUGGCUCCAUCUCCGUUUCCCUUGGCUUACCUGGCUCUGGCAGAGGCCGCGGCGGCGAGGCCCGGGUGGAAGGCGGCGGCGAUCCCGGGGAGGACGCGGCCGGAGUGCAGCAGGGCCAUGGUGGACCGUAGGAGGGCAGUGGGCAGCCGCAGGACGGAGCAGAGGGCGAGCGGACACACACACAGGGAACCGGCUCCUGCUGAAGGUAAUUGUAUGACAAUGGAGAGGUGAUUACUGCGCUGAAAAUCAGUUUCCUGAAGUGAAAAAGGGAAUCAAGUUACGUCACAGAGCCUGGUGUGAGCGGCGCUCUGUCAACACCAGCUCUUCAUGGGUUGUGGUUUCCUCCAGUUCCUGGAUGUGUGGAGUUCAUCCUCCACUGACUGGCGCCCCGGUUGACAAUGAGGUCUGGAAAUUGGCAACUGAUGAAGGGAAGUGUAUCAGUCCGUUUUCAUGCUGCUGAUAAAGACACACCCGAGACUGGGAAGAAAAAGAGGUUUAAUGGACUUACACUUCGACAUGGCUGGGGAGGCCUCACAAUCGUGGUAGAAGGCAAGGAGGAGCAAGUCACAUCUUACGUGGAUGGUGGUGGGCAAAAGAGAGAGAGCUUGUGCAGGGGAACUCCUCUUUUUAAAAGUAUCAGAUCUCGUGAGAUUUAUUCACUAUUAUGACAACAGCAGAAGACAGACCUGCCCCCAUGAUUCAAUUACCUCCCACUGAGUGCCUCCCUCAACAUGUGGGAAUUACGAGUUAUACUUCAAGAUGAUUUGGGUGGGGACACACAGCCAAACCAUAUUAGGGAGCAGGAAAAAGAAACAAAAACAGCAACUAAUAACUCCCAAGACCACAGCUUCGCUCCUGUCUAGAGCUUUGCUACUUAGCCACAGGAACACGGGUGAUCAUACCUCAACAGAAGUCUGCCAGCAUUCAUUACGACCAGUGCUUAAUCUCAUCUGACAAUAUCAAUGUCAAAAUCAGAGCUUGGAGCUGGCGGUGUUUCAGCAGAGGAGUCUUUGGAGCUUCCACGAACUGGUUCAAUAAACAAUCUUGCUGUGAAACACAGAGCUUGGUAUUUAGAAGGGUUUUAGCUGGCAUAUCCACAAAGCUGCAGCAUCCUGUCCACUGCUAAUUCCACUGUGAAAUGUUGAAAUACAGCUCUUAGCUCCGAGAAAGCAUGUAGGCUUCUAUUUGCAUGCAAAUCAUUGCCAUUCAUGUGUGAACUACAGCAGGUAACAGCUCUGCCAGAUGGAAUAAUUUGGGGUAAGGCCAUCCUCUUUGUUAAAGGCCACAGGUAUCCAUGCAUGCUGCAGUGUAGCUCAUUCCUACUUUCCACGUCACCCCCUGGGGAAUAAUCAUUUUAAUGAUGGGCCUCAAGGAAAGGAAACGCCAUUCUACCCUGUCAUCAUUUAGUAAACAAAAUGGUGCCAAUUAGUGUAAUGCUGACCUAAUGUAAUAUUUGAUGCAAUUAGUAAAUUGAGAGGGAUAAAAAGGAACAUGGUAAAUUGAUAGAUCAAGAAAACUCCCUUGGAUUUUGAAAAAGUACAGAUUGCAUGCAUGUUUCAAGGAAAACCACUGUGGUCUCACCCCAGGUGGCAGUGCCUUGUAGUGGUUAGGAGUGUGUGUCUCUAGAAUCGGAAUGCUUGUGUCUCAAUCGCAGCUCUACCUCUUACUAACCAGAAGACUUUGAAUAAAACUCACACUUCCUAAGUGUCAACUUCAUCAUCUGUAAAGUGAAGAUAGUAGUAGACAAUUGAACUUAAUCCUCUCCUGGUCAUAUGAGGUAGGUCUGAUUUAAGUAGUUGAGCAGCCUGCCUGAUACAUGUAAAGCUUAACAAUAACUAUAAAUAAUCAUAAUUACAAUGAAUAAAAUAGCCAUAGAAGCUAGUUGCAUUAAAUUUAUUUGUAAUAAAUGUAGUAGCUAAUGCUGUACUUGAUCAAUUCACAGAGCUGAUUUCUCCAAUAAAUAGGAAGCUCCUAAGUAUAGAGACCAUGUCUUCUCUUCUUGUCAUCAGUGGUUUGCUCACCAUCUAACACUUAGGAUGUAUUCAACAAAUGGUUAUUAAAUGCACAGGUUUUAAAAUUAGUAGCAUUUUUUGUGUUAUUUAUUCCUUUACCUCCUCCUUCUUCAUAUCUCUUUCUCCUCUGUCAUCAUCAUCAUCAUCAUCAUUUUUUAUCCUCUCUAUUUCCAAAGACAUGGGGAUAAGAUUUGUCCCAGCAGGAUUCAUGCUGGUUACAUGGAAAGCAACACUGUUGAUAUUCAAAUGUCCCCUAAGGCUACCUACCUCCUUAUGAAUCUUUGGUAUCUUUCGUUUGAAUCUCCAGGCAUACUCUUUAUCUUUUCCCAAGCCUGCUCUAUGCAUUAAUUUUAUGGACUCCAUUAAUUAGUUUGCUUAUCUUUUAGUUUCCUGUUGGAUUAAGCCAGUGAGAACCCAGAAGGGUAAGGAGAGAGUUAGGGCAGGUUUCUGUCUUCUGGGUCUAACUGUUUGCCUUUGUUUUUCUCUCUGUGGCUACAGCUUCCACUAGGCAACUUUCUCUUAUAGCUUUAGUGUUCCUCUUUGGAUUCUGGUAUGUACUUCUUUUCCUUGCCAUUCCCUUAUUGGUUUUCCAUCACCCUGCCCACUCUUUAGUAAAUGUCCCUUUCAUUAGUUUCUCCCCUAGGUUGCUCACCUUGAGUAUGUCAUCUGUUACCCAUCAGGACCUUGACUGAUACAGGGUUCUAGAGCAUAUAAACUUCAAUGGUCUGCCACCAAGUCUGUGUGAUAUCUAGUUCCCACUUGCCACGUGGCAGGACCUUAGCAGCAGAAAGGGACAUUUUCUUGCCUUUACAGUGAUCACUAAGUGACGAGAAGAAGAGCAGGUGUCUCCUACAUAAUUGCUGCAGAACCGUUGUUUCUCAGGUCCAGCUGUUUUUGUCUCUUUUAUGCUAUCUGUCUCCAAAUCUCUGAUAUGUUGCUAAUAUACUGCUUAGGCCACCUAUGAGAUAUCCAUGAGGUCCAUUAUGGUGGAUAAUUAGAUUUUAGGGUCAGAAAUCCUGAAAUCAAAGCCUUUCCCAAAUUGCCUAUCAGUCAGAACUCAAAAGGAUUCUAGGACUCAUUUAAAAAUUCAACUUUUUUUUUUUUGCCAUAGAGACAGGGAGGAGUUGCUCAACUAACAUGUUGGCAACUACAGACAGCUCUUUUGUCAUCUGUUGGAUAAGGGAGACACUUAAUCAAACACCUAAAACAAAACAUGCUUGUUAUUUACAAAGAGAUAUGUAAAAGCAAAUAUCAAAUGUUUGCACAAACUUUUUAUAAAAGGACCACAACUUGAGAACCCCAGAAUAAUGUCCAGAGAUGCCUGUGACUUCCAUUUGAAACCAUACUCACUUGGCCGGGCGUGGUGGCUCACGCCUGUAAUCCCAGCACUUUGGGAGGC
rnacentral:lncRNA from 1 species